AUUGAACGCUGGCGGCAGGCCUAACACAUGCAAGUCGAACGGUAGCACAGAGAGCUUGCUCUCGGGUGACGAGUGGCGGACGGGUGAGUAAUGUCUGGGAAACUGCCCGAUGGAGGGGGAUAACUACUGGAAACGGUAGCUAAUACCGCAUAACGUCGCAAGACCAGAGUGGGGGACCUUCGGGCCUCACACCAUCGGAUGUGCCCAGAUGGGAUUAGCUAGUAGGUGGGGUAAUGGCUCACCUAGGCGACGAUCCCUAGCUGGUCUGAGAGGAUGACCAGCCAAACUGGAACUGAGACACGGUCCAGACUCCUACGGGAGGCAGCAGUGGGGAAUAUUGCACAAUGGGCGCAAGCCUGAUGCAGCCAUGCCGCGUGUAUGAAGAAGGCCUUCGGGUUGUAAAGUACUUUCAGCGGGGAGGAAGGCGGUGGAGUUAAUAACUUCACCGAUUGACGUUACCCGCAGAAGAAGCACCGGCUAACUCCGUGCCAGCCGCCGCGGUAA
rnacentral:rRNA from 1 species